CUCCCUACCGGCCAAACCCUCCCUAACCCGGACGACGCUAUGCCAAUUGUGCGUCGCCCCACGGUAUAUAUAGAUGGUAGCAAUUUACUGGAACAAACGCAAUUUUAAACUGAAGCUGAAACAAGUAGCGGGGGUAAUUCUGAUUUUAGCAGCAUGACCUCAGACCACUCAACCUGCUUUGGGUAUUGUACGAUGCUUUAGUACAAUUCUCUAUCACGUGACAAUGUAAUAGGGUGAUACUAUUAUUUAGAAAUGUGUUCAAGCCAGCCUGUGACUCAUAGUUGGAUUAGCUAUUUAGCUACAGAAGCUAAAUUAAUAUAGUUAUAUUAUGAUGGGUUCAGAGAUGUUUGAAAGCGAGACCGAGAAAAGGGGGGAUUUGGCUGUUUUAACUGUACUAUAUAUAUAUAUAUAUGGGGUAUCAUACCCCUGUCUCAGAUGAUAUAAGCACUUGUCACACGUGAGACCCCUGUGCUGAGUUGAUGAAUUCCCGACAUGAGUGAUAAUCUAACACCGCAUUCAGACUUAGUCAUGGUGACUUGCAACUCACUCCCGGUCAUCUGGGUCAUUCUCCGAGUCCUAUAGAGAUGGUUUGACCUCCUCUAGCGCUAGAUGCCAUGUUGCUACCUCAUAUACAAUUCCAUUAAUUCAUAAUGUGUUUGUCUGCCUGCCUGUCAGAACCUCUGAUCUGAACCAUAAGUUUCUACGUGACCCUGUCGUCUGGGCACCUGGAAGAGCGCUCCCGGACAGUAGGUGGAGUGUCACCCAUGCCUGUCCCAGGCCGAGCUGCUGAGUCACUGCAGGUAAGUGUGUGUGACGGCCUACUGUCCCCUGGGUAGUGCUGAGCAGUCCAGGGCUUCGCCUGACGAACCCUGCCUGCUGCAGGACCCUGGACUGGGGGGCUGUCACCCUCCACCACAGAAAGACCCCUGCUCAGGAUAUACUCACGUAACACACAAACACCUCAGUGUAACUAGCCGUAGUGUAAUUAACAAUGCUCAAGUGUGUGUGUCUCUCUGUCUCCAGGUGGCAGGUACAGAGAGGGGUGGUCUGCAUCCCCAAGAGCAUUACUCCUUCCAGGAUCCUGCAGAAUCUGCAGGUCAGGAGGACAGCGCCAUCUAGUGGAAGGAAUACCAAUUGAACUGCAUGAUGUUUUACCAGUUUGGAAACUACUCACCUCUUCCCCAAAAUGUGUUUGACUUCUGUCGGAUGAAGACCUGAAGCAGAUCGAGUCGUUCAACAGAAACGAGAAGUACAUCAUCCUGGCUGUGGAGAGGGACAGAGAGUGGAGGGACGCAGACCACCCUCAUUUCCCGACCUGAUCUAGAGACAGAUCCACAUCUAGAGUCAGAUCUACUGGCCCCACAUCUAGAGACAGCUCUGACCCCUCCUGUCUCAGCCUCCAGACCUGAGCCCUAGGACCAUGCCUCAGGACUACCUGGCAUG